rnacentral:rRNA from 1 species
UUGAACGCUGGCGGCAGGCCUAACACAUGCCAGUCGAACGGUAACAGGAAACAGCUUGCUGUUUCGCUGACGAGUGGCGGACGGGUGAGUAACGUCUGGGAAACUGCCUGAUGGAGGGGGAUAACUACUGGAAACGGUAGCUAAUACCGCAUAACGUCGCAAGACCAAAGAGGGGGACCUUCGGGCCUCUUGGCAUCGGAUGUGCCCAGAUGGGAUUAGCUAGUAGGUGGGGUAACGGCUCACCUAGGCGACGAUCCCUAGCUGGUCUGAGAGGAUGACCAGCCACACUGGAACUGAGACACGGUCCAGACUCCUACGGGAGGCAGCAGUGGGGAAUAUUGAACAAUGGGCGCGAGCCUGAUGCAGCCAUGCCGCGUGUAUGAAGAAGGCCUUCGGGUUGUAAAGUACUUUCAGCGGGGAGGAAGGAAGUAAAGUUAAUACCUUGGCUGAUUGACGUUACCCGCAGAAGAAGCACCGGCUAACUCCGUG